UACGUAGGGCGCAAGCGUUAUCCGGAAUUAUUGGGCGUAAAGAGCGUGUAGGCGGCCUUACAGGUCAGCUGUGAAAACUCGAGGCUCAACCUCGAGACGUCGGUUGAAACCGUAAGGCUAGAGUCCGGAAGAGGAGAGUGGAAUUCCCGGUGUAGCGGUGAAAUGCGCAGAUAUCGGGAAGAACACCCGUGGCGAAGGCGGCUCUCUGGGACGGUACUGACGCUGAGACGCGAAAGCGUGGGGAGCGAACAGG
rnacentral:rRNA from 1 species